GACGAACGCUGGCGGCGUGCUUAACACAUGCAAGUAGAACGCUGAAGCUUGGUGCUUGCUCUGGGUGGAUGAGUGGCGAACGGGUGUGUAAUACGUGUGUACCCUGCCCUUGCCUCUGGGAUCAGCUUGGGAAGCUGGGUAUAAUACUGGAUACGUCAUGUUACCGUAUGAUGGUGUGUGGAAAGGGUUGUACUGGUUUUGGAUGGGCUCACGGCCUAUCUGCUUGUAGGUGGGGUAAUGGCGCACCAAGGCGCCGCGGUGUAGCCGGCCUGCGAGGGGGACCCGCCACACAGGGACUGAGGCACGGGCCAGACUGCUACUGGAGGCAUCAGCGGAAGAUUGACCGCAAUGGGCGGAAUCCGUAUGCAGCGACUCCGCGUCGUGGAGGACUGCCGUCGGGGUAGAAACCGCGUGCAGCACGGAAGAAGCGAAAGUGACGGUACGUUCAGAAGAAGCGCCGGCUAACUACGUG
rnacentral:rRNA from 1 species